rnacentral:rRNA from 1 species
AUGGCGGAGGAACCGUCCGCCAAGCGUCAUCAUGCCGAGACGUCGGACAAGAGGAGCAACCUCGUCGACAUUAACACGUCGGACAAGAGGAGCAACCUCGUCGACAUUAACGUCCCCGGCGAGAAGCAUGAGUACACUAGAACGCUCAAAGGGGUUGAGCUCCACGGCAAGGAGACGCUGGAGAUCAUCUGCACCGGCGAACCAGACAAGGCCGACGAGAUGAUGAGGAGGCUCAGGAUGAAGGGAGGCGGCUUGUAUCCGAGCUUCAUCGGAGUUGAUGUGGAGUACACCGACGAGGAAAAACCUCCACAGAUGGCGGCAGUCCUGCAGUUGUGCGUCGAGAAACUCUGCUUGGUGUACCACAUCGCAGCGGCCACAAAAUGGCCCAAGCGCCUCAAAGACUUCCUGUGGGGGGAGAAAUUGUACACAUUUGUUGGUUUCAGCAUUGGAGGUGACAAGCGGAUGCUGGAGGAGUCUGGUUUGGAAAUCAACCCCAACAACUUCAUCGACAUGCAGUGCAAGUGGAAAGAUCCAAAGACCAACAAAUACUACGACUCCUUGGCCGAUGUUGCAGGCGGCAUCAUCCACCCAUUCUACGAAGGCAUGAAGAAGAAGAUGAAUAGGGCAGACCACAAACUGUGGGGGAACAGCCCGCUGCCAGACAACCUCAUCACGUACGCAGGAAUAGAUGCGUACGCAACGUACAAGUCAUGGAAGACAAUCGACAACAUCGUGACAGGUUGGGAUAUUUCAAAAGAGCAGGAGGCUGACCCCUACUACCACUACAACUUCGCGGAUGAAGAUGCAUGA